GGGGUAGGGGUUAGGGGGAUGUUUGCCCGUAAACCAGGAAAGGGAAUAAUACUCGAAAUAUAAAUAAGAAAUACUCAAGUUAAUAAAAAAAAUAAAAGAAAAGCAUGCUAUCCUGUAAAGGAAAUAAAGAGAACUGAGAAAUGUUUCUGAUUUCUGCGGUGCAAAAAUGCUUUUUCUUUUUUUAAACAAAGGCAUUUUUAUUGUGUGCGAUGCCAAGGAUCAAACUCAAAGCCUCAUACAUGAGAACUGGCCAGUCUAUCAUUCGUCUGUGACAUUACACACUAGACAAUUAUAUCUCUAUUCACUUCAGAAAAUCAUUCAACCUUUCUCUAUUGUGCCUGUCUCCUUUCUUUUAGCCUCACCCAAACUUUACUGUUGUCAACUGAAAGACCCCCCUCCCAGAAAGGGAAUUGUACAAGCCCAAGGCCCUCAACUAUAGAAAUAAAAAAUAAAAUCCCAACUCCUUGAAAUUGGAUGUCUACUUCUUCAAGUGGCCACCUUGGAAGCCAAGAUUUGGAGAGAUAAUGGUCACAUCUCCUCCAGUGAUGAGCAUUGCUUCGAUCUCGAUAUUAUUACUCGUCUUCCUGCCUUGGGACUUUGAUUCUUUAUAAAAAUUUGCCAAAAUAAUCGGGCCAACCCCUUUUUAGGUUUUUGGUAUUGUCCUUAGAAUUUGACUCAGCAUCAUUUUCUGGUCUCACAAAAUCUGUUUUUAGAGCAGUGUUUAACUGUACCAAGGAGGAGAGCUUUCCCUGCCUGAGAGCCUGCAAUAGGCUCCCCUGAGAGUUUUUUCUUUCUGAUAAGGUGCUGACCUCACUCUUGAUGGUCUGAUUACAUCCUUGUUUUCUGCACUCACAUUUCAAAGGCUAAAGACUGUAUCACUGCCUUUCUCGUUGAUGGCUCUGACACACUCCUUCCCACAGCUGAGGUCAACCUUUGCAGGAAGUAAAGGUUUCCUGUAGACUUUGCUUGACUUGAGGAAAUGGUCCAAGUCUUUACACUGGGCAUUUCAGGCUCCCAAGGGACACAACACCAAGGUUUUUUCAUCAUAUGCAGCCUGUACCUCUAUCCCAGCACAGUGGCCUUCACCAAGCAGCUUCUCAUUGGCUCUCUCUAUCCCUUGCCCUUACUGUGCUGUGUUAUCUUCUUCAACUCUUCUCUCCACCAUGAGAACCAUUGGAGAUGUGACCCAGGUCUAAUAUUGCGUGUGCCAUAUCCUUCCACUCUUGGAAUACUAUUCUAUUUUUAAUAGUCCAAGAAGUCUGGAUUUGUCUUACAAAUGAUGAAUGUGUCUCAAAAUUAGUGACACUCUCCUUAAAUGUUCUCAGUUCUAACACCUACGGGGUGCCCUUCAAAUACCUGAUAACCCUUGGAUGAUCAUCACCUGGAGGUCUUUGUUGUGUACUAUCUGAUAAAACAAAGACUGUUUUCUAAUACCCUUUGGUUGGUUUUCUUUAAUUUUAUCUUCAGCCUCUACCUGAGUAUUUUCCUUAAUUUAAGUUUUAAAUUCCUCUGUCCCCAUGCUUCAGAUCUCUCCUUCUGUCCUCCUUCCUCUUGCUUGAGCUCCUGUAUUCUCUCUUCAAGGUUCUACAUCCAUAUUUUAAAUUAAUUCUUUAUAUUGUAGUUUUGAUAUUCUGCUGUGUAUUUUAUUUUCAUUGAUUAAUUUUAAAAGGUCAUUCUCCAAGUCUUGCUUCCAAUCCUCAUUAUGUUCUCUCUGCUACUCAGUCUGGCCUGUGAGCCGUUGCACAUUUGCUCUACCGUCUUUUCCAGCUCCAUUUUCUGUCUUUCGUUUGCUGAUCGUGAUCUUUAAUUUCCUGUGCCUGUAACUCUAGUGUCUCCUCUAGGCCAUGUUGCCAAGUCUUAAAUUUCUUUCUGUUAUUCAUGCUUCUCUGUAAAUUGCUGUAACUUCUGUCCUAGACCCUGCUUCCAUCAUUUGAAUGCUGUGCUUCUGAUAUUAAUGCCUCUGCCUUAUUGGGAUGCACUGCUUCAGUAAAUUGUCCUCCAGACUCUGCUCCCACACUUUAUCUCUCUCUCUUUGCUGUUCAGUCUGAUCUAUGAAAUUCUGCACCUGUUUUCUAGCAUCUCUCCCCGCUCCUUUCUCCAACUUUAAUUCUCCUCCUUCUGUUGCUUACCUUGAUUUACGAAAUUCUGAACCCUUAGUUCUAGUGUCUCCUCUAAUCCCUUUUCUAAUGCAUGUAAUUUUUUAUCCUGGGCCCUGGAUUUUGGGAAAACAUAGUAAAUCAAGAGAAUAAGUAUUGAAGUAGUGGUAAGUAGCUAGGUGUCUAUUUCCUCUAAAUCUAUCCCUGUCAAACUGUUCAUAAUAUCAUUCAAUAAAACCUGAAAGAUUUAUUGUGUCUCUCAUUUUUAAAGAUCCAAUGUGUGUGUGUAUGUGUGAGUGUGUGAGAGAGUGUGCAUGUGUGUGUGUGUGUGUGUGUGUGUGUAAUCAAAUACACACACAUAUAUAUGUAUGUACACUCAAUUUAUAAUUCUUAUUAGGUGAUCUGAAUAUUUUGGACCUUUGUCUCCAUCUGCUGUUUUAUUUAGGACAUAACAAUUCUCUUCAAUUUUUAUUGGCACGGAGGGGCUGACUAUAGAAUGACUAGCAACUUCUAUGCUUCUUAGCAGGCUCUCUAUUUUUGGUCUGGGUUGCAGCUGCCAACUUGUGUGCUGAUCUCUGGGGCCUGGAGGGCAAGCAGUUUGGAGAGCAGGUCUGGUCAUCCCGCUUCCUGUUUAGACCUGAGAGAUACAGGGGUGCAAGCACAAGCACAGAAAGGAUCCCUCAGGCAUAGAUGCCCAGACCAGCUCUCUGUGUCUGCCAGAAAACUACCUCACAGGCAGUUGGGAUCCAAGGUCCCUUGUCCCUCCCUAGUCUCCAUGUAGGUGUGCUGCCCCUGGCUAUAGCUUUCUGUCUGGGACUUGGGGAGGAAGUCUCUCUGCUGGUCUCUGAGUUCCACUCAGACCCAGUCAGCUUUCAAUCCACAUACUGCUGCAGACUUAGAUGGCUGCCCUAGCUGUUUAUUCUGGGGAGGGAGGUGCAGUACAUUUUUAUCUUAGGUAAGUUAGGUUCUAAGCAAUAAGAUGGGGGCCAAUUUGUUGCAAAAAAAAACCUCUAACAUCAGUAAUUCCAUACAAAUAACACAUGACACAGUUACUAUAUUCAUAAGAUGUACACCUAGAUUGGACGGAUGACCACUACAUUAACCUAUUCCCCAGCUAUGAGAUUCCUUGUUAACAUGACUUCUCCAGGUCAUAUGGUUCUGUUCCAUCUUCUCUCUGCCUCUUCUCCAUCCUUCUUCCUCUACUCUCUAAAACCUCAGGUACCACCUUUUCCUUCCACUGCCUAACCAAAGUCUCUACCCUUUAUUUUACCAGUUAAAAUGAGGAGAAGGUUCAAAGUAAAUCACCUGAGUAUUUGAUCCACUCUUAGUUGGGGAAGCCCCUCUUGAGGAAGCAGAAUUAACAUCAGAAUACAGACAGUAUCAGGUCAACCCACUUAGAUUCAGAAUUUUAUUGAGUAUUUUUGUAUUAUAUUCAUAAGUAAAAUUGGUCUGAGGUUCUCUUUGUUUGGUCUUUGUGCGAUUUAGGUAUUAGUUUAAUAACUGUGGCUUCAUAGAAUAAAUUGGGUAGUGUUUCUUCUGCUUCUAUUUUGUGUAAUAAUUUGAGGAGUAUUGGUAUUAGGUCAUCUUUGAAGAUCUGAUAGUUUUUCACUAAAACCAUCUGGUUCUGGGCUUUUUGUUGGGAGACUUUUAAUGAGGGCUUCUAUUUCCUUAGGGGUUAUGGGGUUGUUUACAUAGUUAUCUGGUCCUUAUUUAACUUUGAUAUCUGUCUAGAAAACCAUCCAUUUCAUCUGGAUUUUCCUAUUUUUUUUGAGUAUAGGCUUUUAUAGUCAGAUUUGAUGAUUUUUUUAAUUUCCUGUUUCUGUUGCUAUGUCUUUCUUUUUGUUUUUGACUUUGUUAUUUUGAAUACUAUCUGUGCCCUUUAGUUAAUUUACCUAAGGGUUUACCACUCUUUCUGAUUUUUCUCACAGAGCAAGCUCUUAGAUUUAUUGAUUCUUUGUAUAGUUCCCUUUGUUACUACUUGGUUGGUUUUUGUCCUAAGUUUAAAUAUUUCCUGGUGUCUAGUCCUCUUGGGUUUCCUUGCUUCUUUUGAUUCCAGAGGUUUCAGAUAUGCUGUUAAGUUGCUAGUACAGGAUUUCUCCAAUUUCUUUAAGAACUCACUUAGGGCUAUGGAUUUUUCUCUUGGUACUGCUUUCAUUGUGCCUCAUAAAGUUGUGUGUGUGUGUGUGUGUGUGUGUGUGUGUGUGUGCCUCUCUCUCUCUCUCUCUCUCUCUCUCUCUCUGUGUGUGUGUGUGUGUGUGUGUGUGUGUGUGUGUGUGUGUAUCAGAAAGAUACAGCUGUGUUUGUUCUUUUAUUGGAAGCAGAAUAAGUCGUUUUGGCUACUCAGGCUUCUUACCUAAAGUAUCCCAACUCCGGUUUGCUGAAAAGAAGAAAGCAGAGAGCAGUCAUCAUUUGGGGAGGCUGCUGAUGGGUCUCAAAGUAGAGCGGGUGUACUGAGCAUAGACAAAAGUUGCUAGUUUUUUUUGGGAAUGAAGAAUACAGUGUUGCUUUGUACUCUGGGUGGUGAAGCAUGCAUUCUUUGCAGAAGGAAGUUGGUGAGACUGCUGAAAAGCAGGGACCAAACAGUAAGUUAGCACACUUGUAAUGUUUGGCCAUCCAAAGGCCUUAUCCAUAGUCCUCAAGCAUUCAGUGUCCUUCCAGAAAGUAUUGUUCUCCUUUUCUCGGGUUUAAUUCAUUCCAACAGUCAUCUGGCAUUCCCCUUCCUGGGCAGAGUUGAUUCACCUGAGAGCAGCAUUCAGUCCCCCCUUUUCAACACUGAUUAAAUCCAGCCCCCUCUGUGGUUUGGGAGGACCACCACAGCCAGGGAAUUUACUUGAGUUUGUUGUCAAGGCCAGCUUUGACACCACAAGGUAAAUCAAAGCAGGCAGUGACUUGUGACCUCAGGGAUUUGGGUCAGCCCUGAGAGCAGCUGAUGGAGUCCAUUCAGAUAGUGACCAACAAGGGCUUCUGCCUAUAGCAGCCAACAAUUUCAGAAAAGAAAAGGGGGAG
ensembl:lncRNA